AUGCAUGUCCCUUUGAGAGAGACGGAGAUGGGAUACUCUUUCUUGCGGGUCGACGCCUUCUCCGGCGGCGGGGACGGCUCGAUCAACGAGAACGGGGCUUGACCUUCGUCUUACCUCGUGAAAGCGGCGGUUGCCGACGAUGACGGCGGGCUCGCCCUCAAGAAGCCCGUCAACCCCACCACAUCUCAGGAGAUGAGACCUAUGUCGAUAAAACAAGCGAUCAUUCAAUCUGAGGUACAAUUGGAGUUGGUCAGGCAGGAGAUCCGGAUUUGCUUCCUCGCUGGAUCAUGUCAUCUUCCAUUUAAGGUUACAAAGGAGGGAUUAAGGAGUCAUGGAGCAUACUUAUCAUUCCCCGUUCACCUGGAUGGGACCUUACUUGAUGUUGCCCAAGUUAUGCAAUUAAAGCAGGAACUUUUCUCUUGGUCUCUUGAAGUUCCAGCAGAAUGUUCAUGUUUCUCCUGGUUAUCUUUUCCAUGGUUUGAUACACAACAAAAUGAUGAUGACUCUCAGUUUUUCUCUGGUGGAGAUAAUACAAACUUAGGCCGGCUUCCUUCUUCCCACUAGCAUGCGAAAUGCUCUGCAAUUUUUUGAGGACAAGUUUGCAUCUUUUGGAAAAGAAAAAGACAGAUCACACUGCAAUUACAAAUCAUACGAGGUUCCUUAAUUCUCAAAGAGGUAAAAUCUAAUCAUUUGUACUCACUCAUGCUGUCUGUCUUCAUGAUCAACUAUAAGGAUAAGCCCAACUUUUCAGCAGAAGCUACUUGUUGUAGGAUCUGGAUCUGUUUUGUGACAAAUCAGUUCAAAUAUUGCUGUUUUGUUCUCAUUCACCAAAUAGAUGUUGGAAAAAUCAACUCAUUGUCAGAUCAUCCGAGAUGUUUAAGUUAAUAAUAAUAAUAAUAUGCUUGUCUA